rnacentral:rRNA from 1 species
UACCAGCACCCCGAGUGGUCGGGACGAUUAUUGGGCCUAAAGCAUCCGUAGCCGGUCAUGCAAGUCUUCCGUUAAAUCCAGCCGCUCAACGGUUGGGCUGCGGAGGAUACUACGUGGCUAGGAGGCGGGAGAGGCAAGUGGUACUCAGUGGGUAGGGGUAAAAUCCUUUGAUCCAUUGAAGACCACCAGUGGCGAAGGCGGCUUGCCAGAACGCGCUCGACGGUGAGGGAUGAAAGCUGGGGGAGCAAACCGG